GACGAACGCUGGCGGCGUGCUUAACGCAUGCAAGUCGAACGGAAAGGCCCUGCUUUUGUGGGGUGCUCGAGUGGCGAACGGGUGAGUAACACGUGAGUAACCUGCCCUUGACUUUGGGAUAACUUCAGGAAACUGGGGCUAAUACCGGAUAGGAGCUCCUGCUGCAUGGUGGGGGUUGGAAAGUUUCGGCGGUUGGGGAUGGACUCGCGGCUUAUCAGCUUGUUGGUGGGGUAGUGGCUUACCAAGGCUUUGACGGGUAGCCGGCCUGAGAGGGUGACCGGCCACAUUGGGACUGAGAUACGGCCCAGACUCCUACGGGAGGCAGCAGUGGGGAAUAUUGCACAAUGGGCGGAAGCCCGAUGCAGCAACGCCGCGUGCGGGAUGACGGCCUUCGGGUUGUAAACCGCUUUCGCCUGUGACGAAGCGUGAGUGACGGUAAUGGGUAAAGAAGCACCGGCUAACUACGUG
rnacentral:rRNA from 1 species